GAAUGUGAGGGUGAUCUGGCUGCAACAUCUGUCACUAUAUUGUUCACCAGGGUUGAUUCAGCUGAUCUGGCUGGAUGGAUGGAUGUCCUCUUCCUCCCUCAAGGCUCCAUGUGUUCCUCCCUAAGCUGUUGAAGAGGAAUGCCUUUCCCUAAUAGAGACAGACUGGUCUUUGGUCAGUCGAGGAUAUUCGAGUAGCUGCGCUCCCCUGCUAGAACCUCCAAACAAGCUCUCAAGGUCCAAAUAUAUCUGGUUUCAGAAUAAGUGCUAUACUACAUUUAAAGCUUAGUGAAGACUUUUUCACAUUCUA
ensembl:misc_RNA 7SK 7SK RNA